GUGAAAUUGUUGAAAGGGAAACGAUUGAAGCCAGUCGUACCUUCGGGUAAUCAGCCUUUCGGGUGCGAUUAUGUGGAGUGUGAGGAGCUUAAACACCUUCAUGUUUUGCAUAUUCGUACUCUUGGGUGUACUUGCCCGUGUGGUUGGUUAACAUCAAUUUUGGUGGUCAUAAAAUGACUGGAGGAAUGUAGCUUCGAUCUCGUAUUGAAGUGUUAUAGCCUUUGGUAGAUGUGAUGAUUAGGAUUGAGGAUUGCAACGGAUACCCUUCGGGGCUAACUGUCUGAUCUCUGAAAGUUGCUCUGGUGCUGAAAGCUUGCUUAUGGUAUCAAAGUUGACGUUCAAAAGGUUAGAACGGGAUAAAUUCGUUAAGGAUGUUGACGUAAUGGCUUUAAACGAC
rnacentral:rRNA from 1 species